GUCAGGUUCAGGUCUGAGGCAGAUCCAGGUCUGAGUCAUGUUCAGGUCUGAGUCAAAUCCAGGUCUGAGUCAGGUUCAGGUCUGAGGCAGAUCCAGGUCUGAGUCAGGUUCAGGUCUGUGGCAGACCCAGCUCUGAGUCAAAUCCAGGUCUGAGUCAGGUUCAGGUCUGAGGCAGAUCCAGGUCUGAGUCAUGUUCAGGUCUGAGUCAAAUCCAGGUCUGAGUCAGGUUCAGGUCUGAGGCAGAUCCAGGUCUGAGUCAGGUUCAGGUCUGUGGCAGACCCAGCUCUGAGUCAAAUCCAGGUCUGAGUCAGGUUCAGGUCUGAGGCAGAUCCAGGUCUGAGUCAGGUUCAGGUCUGAGGCAGAUCCAGGUCUGAGUCAUGUUCAGGUCUGAGUCAAAUCCAGGUCUGAGUCAGGUUCAGGUCUGAGGCAGAUCCAGGUCUGAGUCAUGUUCAGGUCUGAGUCAAAUCCAGGUCUGAGUCAGGUUCAGGUCUGAGGCAGAUCCAGGUCUGAGUCAGGUUCAGGUCUGUGGCAGACCCAGCUCUGAGUCAAAUCCAGGUCUGAGUCAGGUUCAGGUCUGAGGCAGAUCCAGGUCUGAGUCAGGUUCAGGUCUGAGGCAGAUCCAGGUCUGAGUCAUGUUCAGGUCUGAGUCAAAUCCAGGUCUGAGACAGGUUCAGGUCUGAGUCAGGUUCAGGUCUGAGUCAAAUCCAGGUCUGAGUCAGGUUCAGGUCUGAGGCAGACCCAGGUCUGAGUCAAAUCCAGGUCUGAGUCAGGUUCAGGUCUUAGUCAGGUUCAGGUCUGAGGCAGAUCCAGGUCUGUGUCAGGUUCAGGUCUGAGGCAGAUCCAGGUCUGUGUCAGGUUCAGGUCUGAGGCAGACCCAGGUCUGAGGCAGAUCCAGGUCUGUGUCAGGUUCAGGUCUGAGGCAGAUCCAGGUCUGAGUCAGGUUCAGGUCUGAGGCAGACCCAGGUCUGAGUCAAAUCCAGGUCUGAGUCAGGUUCAGGUCUGAGUCAGGUUCAGGUCUGAGGCAGACCCAGGUCUGAGUCAGGUUCAGGUCUGAGGCAGAUCCAGGUCUGAGUCAGGUUCAGGUCUGAGUCAGGUUCAGGUCUGAGGCAGAUCCAGGUCUGAGUCAGGUUCAGGUCUGAGGCAGAUCCAGGUCUGAGGCAGAUCCAGGUCUGAGUCAGGUUCAAGUCUGAGGCAGAUCCAGGUCUGAGUCAGGUUCAGGUCUGAGGCAGACCCAGGUCUGAGGCAGUUCCAGGUCUGAGUCAGGUUCAGGUCUGAGGCAGAUCCAGGUCUGACUCAGAUUUCAGGUCUGAGGCAGACCCAGGUCUGAGUCAGGUUCAGGUCUGAGUCAGGUUCAGGUCUGAGUCAGGUUCAGGUCUGAGGCAGAUCCAGGUCUGAGUCAGGUUCAGGUCUGAGGCAGAUCCAGGUCUGAGGCAGAUCCAGGUCUGAGUCAGAUCCAGGUCUG